rnacentral:rRNA from 1 species
GAAGGCUCGGGCAGCCAGACCAAGUACCGCGGGGUGCGGCGCCGACCCUGGGGCAAGUUUGCGGCGGAGAUCCGCGACUCAAACCAGCACGGCGUCCGUGUGUGGCUGGGCACCUUUGACACCGCCGAGGAGGCGGCGGCGGCAUAUGACCGCUCCGCCUACUCCAUGCGCGGCAGGAACGCCAUCCUCAACUUCCCCGACCAGGCGCACGUCUACGAGACCAACGCAUCGCGUGAUGGUGGCGGUGCUGGUCCUUCUGCGUCGGCGGCCAGGACGAAGGUGAUUGAGUUGGAGUGCCUAGAAGACGGUGUGCUGCAGGAGACAAAUGUCAGCAGCGCUGCUUUCAUGCAUAGAGGUAAAUUGGCAUUGCUCACUCAUCUUAAUUUCUUUGUUUGCUCUGUUUAUUUGAUUUAUUAUCUUUUUUUUAGAAAUGGAGGAGGACCCCCGGCCUCUGCAUCUGGACGAUGCAUGCAGCCACUUUAUUAA